AGACGACAGAUAGAUAAGCAGAAAAGAAUUACAACGAAAUUCUAACGAGUGUAGUUUAUCUAGAAUUUUUCUCUGCAGAGAAACAUUUGCACCAUUAUUUUAAGGUGUGGUGGACGGUGUUGGUUGGAGGAGAUAUGACAUCGACCUUGGAAAGUUCUCUAGUUUCCUGAUGAGGACUUAUGAUUGUCUAGAGUCCACAUGGCGUUUCAUACUUCAUACUUACUUACUUCAAGUAUGAAGUAAGUAAUGAAGUACUCAGCAGAAUCGAUCAGCCUUACAGUUUUUUUCUGCAGGAGGAGAAUGUUCUGACAUCCAGAGGAAUGCCCCCACAAGAAGAGGCCAUACACAAUGUGGGUGUGAAAGAGUGCAUAGUAUACCUCGAUUAUAUGCUUCUUGGACAGUAAGCACCACAGUACCUGCUUGUCUACUCUUUUGUAUACUACUACGAGCCUUUAGAGAAAAAGCA